CUUUGUGUUCAGGCGAGAUAGAGAACAGCUUUCCACUAUCGCAUUAUUAUGACUCGGCAAAACGCCGACCUAACGGUUAACAUGACUCAGCAGAAUUCACGCAUUACCGGCGGAGAGGAGGAGGAGGAGGAAGAGGAGGACGGAGCGGCUGUGUCAGGUGGAAGCGCAGGACCUCUAUGGAGGAUAUCAUCAUCGCUCUCCACCGACUGCACCUCCCGGCCGGCGUCUCCCGUUGCUGCGGCCGCAUUGUCCCCGCGCCGCCGCACGCUCCGUGCGUUUGUCCCGAUGAAGCGUUUCCUGCGGUAGAGGGGAAGACCGAGCCACCCCCUCCGCAUUCAUCCCCUCUCCGCUUAUCGAUCCAAACCCGAGCAAGCAGCAGUCCGAGGGCGAAUCUAACGGGCGUCGUGCGCGAUGGCUAAUGCCUCUCCAGACCUGGACAAUGCAGAAGCCCAGCGCCAGCUCAACAACAACAACCGACCAAUCAGCUCCGGGUUCUGGGAGACCGAGUGCACCAGCGCCAAACUGUUCGAGUGUUCCCGCAUCAAGGCUCUGGCAGAUGAGAGAGAUGCAGUGCAGAAGAAAACCUUCACAAAGUGGGUCAACUCCCACCUGGCCAGAGUGUCCUGUCGCAUCUCUGACCUCUACAACGACCUUAGGGACGGCUACAUGCUCACCAGACUGCUGGAGGUUCUCAGUGGGGAGCUACUGCCGAGACCUACCAGGGGUCGUAUGCGGAUCCACAGCCUGGAAAACGUGGACAAAGCUCUGCAGUUCCUGAAAGAGCAGAGAGUUCAUCUGGAAAACGUCGGUUCCCACGACAUCGUGGAUGGAAACCAUCGCCUCACCCUCGGCCUCAUCUGGACCAUCAUCCUUCGCUUUCAGAUCCAGGUGAUCAAAAUAAACACAGCGGACAACAGAGAGACCCGCUCCGCCAAGGACGCGCUGCUGCUGUGGUGCCAGAUGAAGACUGCAGGGUACUCAGAGGUAAACAUUCAGAACUUCACCACCUGCUGGAGAGACGGCCUGGCCUUCAACGCCCUCAUUCACAGACACAGACCGGACCUGAUAGAGUUCAACAAGCUGACGCGCUCCAAUGCGACGCACAACCUGCAGCAAGCCUUCAACGUCGCCGAGCACCACCUAGGUCUCACCAAACUCCUGGACCCCGAAGAUGUGAACACAGAGAAUCCAGAUGAAAAGUCCAUCAUUACGUACGUGGUCUCCUACUACCACUACUUCUCCAAGAUGAAGGCUCUUAUUGUGGAGGGGAAGAGGGUUGGCAAGGUGUUGGACAACUGCAUCGAGACAAAAACAAUCAUCAACCGCUACGACGCGCUGGCGUCGGACCUGCUGGAGUGGAUCGAGAAAACCAUCGCCGUCAUCAGCAACCAGAAAUUCGCCAACUCUCUGACUGGAGUCCAGCAGCAGCUGCAGGCCUUCACAACCUACUGCACGAUAGAGAAGCCCAUCAAGUUUCAGGAAAAAGGAAACCUUGAGGUCCUUCUGUUCACCAUCCAAAGCAAACUCAGAGCCAAUAACCAGAAACCCUACGUGCCUCAAGACGGGAAGCUCAUCUCAGACAUCAACAAGGCCUGGGAGCGCCUGGAGAAGGCGGAGCAUGAGAGGGGCGUGGCUCUGCGUAAGGAGCUGAUUCGUCAGGAGAAGCUGGAGUUGCUAGCUCAACGCUUCGAUCACAAGACGACCAUGAGGCAAGCCUGGCUCAACGAGAACCAGAGACUCGUGUCGCAGGAUAACUUCGGCUACGAUCUGCCGGCCGUGGAGGCGGCGAUGAAGAAGCACGAGGCCAUCGAGGCGGACAUCGCCUCGUACGAGGAGCGCAUCGGCGUGGUGAUGGAGCUCUCCUCGGAGAUGGAGAAGGAGGGAUACUACGACAUCCGGCGCAUCCUGGCCUGCAAGGAGAACAUCCUGGGCCAGUGGAGCCUGCUGAAGGAGCUGGUGGCCGGCAGGCGGACCCGGCUGGAGAAGAACCUGGCUCUGCAGAAAACCUUUCAGGACAUGGUCUACAUGAUCGACUGGAUGGAGGACACACAGGCUCUGCUGCUGUCGAAGGACUUCGGGAAGCAUCUCCUGGAAGUGGACGACCUGCUGCAGAAGCACAGCCUGCAGGAAGCUGACAUCUCCGUUCAGGCGGAGAGAGUCGAGACGCUCAACGCUGCGGCGCUCAAAUUCACCACCAUAGAGGGCUACCAGCCGUGCGACCCGCAGGUGAUCUGCAACCGUGUGAACCACGUCUCUUCCUGCCUGGAGGAGCUGAAACAGCUAGCCGCUAAACGCCGCGCGGAGCUGGAGGAGUCGAGGCAGCUGUGGGCGUUUUUCCAGGAGCUGGAGGAGUCAGAGGCCUGGAUCCGAGAGAAAAGCUCCAUCCUGGCGUCUCAGGGCUUCGGGAAGGACCUGAGCAGCGUGCUGCGGUUGCUACAGAAACACAAGACUCUGGCCGGGGAGCUGCUGGCGCACCGCUCGCUGCUGCAGAACACCAUAAAGCGGGGGAAACAGAUUCUGACCGAAAAGAGCUUCGGCACGGCGGGGAUCCAGGAGCGCAUCAUGGAGGUGAAAGACGAGUGGAAGAAGCUGGAGGACCAGGCGGCGCAGCAUCUCGGCCACCUGCAGGAGGCGCUCAACUUCUUCCAGUUCUCCACGGAGACGGACGACGUGGCGGCGUGGCUGCAGGACGCCUACCGCCUGGUCUCCAGCGAGGACUUUGGCCACGACGAGUACUCCACUCAGUCGCUGCUGAAGAAGCACAAGGGCGUGACGGAGGCCAUCGAUAAACACAGGUUACAUGUAGUUGCUCUGCGCAAACACAUGGUGGUGCUGUCUCUGCAGUACACAGAGCAGGAGGAGGUUCAGGUGCGUUUGGGUGAGGUGGAGCAGCUGUACACGGAGGUCGCAGAGGUCGCCGUACUCAGACAGCAGUGGCUCCACGACGCGCUCGCCGUGUACCGCAUGUUCAGCGAGGUGAACGCCUGCGAGCUCUGGAUCGACGAGAAGGAGCAGUGGCUGGAGAAGAUGGAGAUCCCGGAGAAGCUGGAGGACGUGGAAGUGGUGGCGCACAGGUUUGAAAGCCUGGACCAGGAGAUGAACAGCCUGAUGGGGAGGAUCCUGGACGUCAAUCAGAUCGUUCAGCAGCUGCUGGACGGAGGUCAUCCGUCUUCAGCGGAGGUCAGAGGUUGUCAGGAUCACCUCAACUCCAGGUGGAACACCAUCGUUGAGCUGGUGGAGCAGAAGAAGGAUCAGCUCGACUCGAUGCUUCGCCUGCAGAAUUACCUCCUGGAGUGCGCCGAGAUCAAGUCCCAGAUCCAGGACAAGAGGAAAGCCAUCGACGCCACGCAGUACAUGGGCAGCGACCUGGGGGGCGUCCUCGCUCUGCAGCGACGCCUCUCCACCAUGGAGGGGGCGCUGUCUGUCCUGGAGCCCAAACUGCUGCAUCUACAGGAGGAAGCAGAGUUUCUGGCCGCCGCUCAUCCCAGCCGAACCAUGGAGAUCCUGGUGCCGUUCGAUGGCAUCAGCGUCGAGUGGGAGGAGCUUAAAAGGACGCUACAGGGAUGUGAGGACUCGCUGAUGGUGGCCAGCAGGCUGCAGAGCUUCAUACAGGACCUGGACUCCUUCCUCACCUGGCUGGUCCAGACCCAAACAGCCGCUGCCUCGGAUCAGCUGCCCAACGAUCUGGAGGAGGCAGAGAAGCUCAUCAACAAGCACGCCGCUCUCAAAGAGGAGAUCGGACGGUACGAGGAAGACUACGAGCGUCUGCAGGCCAUGAACGAGCUGCUGGAGUCAGAGGACGCCCCCCUGCCGCAGGCCGCCCUGCAGCAGUGGCUGCAGAAGCUCGACGUCGGCUGGAACAAGCUCCUGGAGAUGUGGGAGAGCCGGAGGGAGGUUCUGGUCCAAGCUCACAUCUUUCACCUGUUCCUGCGAGACGUCAAACAAGCGGAGUCCUUCCUGAACAACCAGGAAUCGGCUCUGGCCCACGUGGAGCUCCCCACCACGGUGGAAACGGUUGAGGUCGCCAUCAAGAAACAUAAGGACUUCACUACCACCAUGGAGCUCAACCUGCACAGGAUCAAAGCUGUGAUCGAGGCGGGAGAAAGCCUGAUCAGCCAGAACAACAUCUACUCCGAGCGAAUCCGGGAGCGCAUCGACACUCUCGCCAAGAGGGGAAACCAGAACAGGGUACUGGCCCAGCAAUGGCUGGAAAAACUGAACGACCAGUGGGAACUUCAGAGAUUUCUCCAAGACUGUCAUGAGCUGGGGGACUGGGUGUACGAAAAGAUGCUGAUGGCGAGGGACAGCAGCCGAGACGAGACCCAGAAGCUGCACAAGAAGUGGCAGAAGCACCAGGCUUUCAUGGCCGAGCUGGCCCAGAACAAGGAAUGGCUGGAUAAAAUCGAAAAGGAAGGGCAGCAGCUGAUAAAGGAAAAGCCGGAGCUGAGCCCGGUGGUCCGGAAGAAGCUGGAGGAGAUCCGGGAGUGCUGGCUGGACCUGGAGAGCACCACUCAGGCCAAAGCUCGCCAGCUGUUUGAGGCCAACAAGGCGGACCUGCUGGUUCAGAGCUACGAAAGCCUGGACCAACGGCUGGGGCAGCUGGAGGGGCAGCUGGCCUACGUGGACCAGGGUCAGGACCUCACCACCGUCAACAAGCAGCUCAAGAAACUACAGACCAUGGAGACCCAGAUGGAGGAGUGGUAUAAUGAGGUGGGGCAGCUCCAGGUCCAGACGGCCUCCAUCCCGCAGCAGACGCAGAUCCAGGGCACGGUGGUGGAGCGGCAGGCCGCCGUGGAGACCAGGAUGGCCCGACUCAUCGAGCCGUUGAAGGAAAGGCGGCGCCUUCUUCUGGCGUCUAAGGAGGUCCAUCAAGUUGGGCGAGACCUGGAGGACGAGAUUUUGUGGGUCCAGGAGCGCCUCCCUCUGGCCAUGAGCCAGGAGCACGGCUCAUCGCUGCAAGCCGUCCAGCAGCUCAUGAAGAAGAACCAGACGCUCCAGAGGGAGCUGGAGGGCCACAGGAAUAGGAUAGAAGACGUCCUGGAGAGGGCAGGGAUCAUCGCCACCAUCAGGAGCCCAGAGGCCGACUGCGUCAGGGCGGGCCACGACCAGCUGGCCCAGCUGUGGGCCCUGCUGUGGGCCGAGACGGAGCGCAGGCAGCUGGUUCUGGACGCCAUGUACCAAGCCCAGCAGUACUACUUCGACACGGCCGAGGUCGAGGCCUGGCUGAGCGAGCAGGAGCUGCACAUGAUGAACGAGGAGAAGGGAAAGGACGAGCCGAGCACGCUGCAGCUGCUGAAGAAACAUUUGCUGCUGGAACAAACCAUCGAGGAUUAUGCUGAGACCAUCGGCCUGCUGUCGCAGCAAUGUCGCCAGCUGCUGGAGAUGGGACACCCAGACUGCGAACGGAUCAGCAAGCGCCAGUCGCAGAUCGACCGUCUGUACGUGUCUCUGAAGGACCUGGUGGAGGAGAGGAAGAGCCGCCUGGAGCAGCAGUACUGGCUGUACCAGCUCAACAGGGAGGUGGACGAGCUGGAGCAGUGGAUCGCCCAGAGGGAAGUGGUGGCCAGCUCGCCUGAACUGGGCCAGGACUUUGAGCACGUCUCCGUCCUCCAGGAAAAGUUCACAGAGUUUGCGUCGGAGACAGGAAAUGUGGGGCAGGAGCGCGUGACGGCCGUCAAUCAGAUGGUGGACGAGCUCAUUGACUAUGGUCACUCUGAGGCCGCCACCAUCGCCGAGUGGAAGGACGGGGUCAACGAGGCCUGGGCCGACCUGCUGGAGCUCAUGGAGACCCGAGCGCAGAUGCUCGCUGCUUCUCACCAGCUGCACAAGUUCUUCUCCGACUGCAAAGAGAUCUUGGCCCAGAUUGAGGAUAAGCACCGGCGGCUCCCAGAGGUCCGGGCUCGGCAGGGCAGCACAUCCAACACCAGCACGCUGCAGAGGCUCCUGCAGAGCUUCGAACAGGACAUCCAGCUGCUGGUCACUCAGGUGCGUCAGCUGCAGGAAAGCGCGGCCCAGCUGAGGACGGUGUACGCAGGCGAGAAGGCCGAAGCCAUCGCUUGCCGUGAGCACGAAGUGAUGCAGUGCUGGAAGGAGCUGCUGACGUCCUGCGAAGAGUGCCGGCUGCAGAUCACCACGGAAACGGACAAGCUGAGGUUCUUCAGCAUGGUCCGGGAUCAGAUCAUGUGGAUGGAGUCCAUCAUCUGUCAGAUCGGCACCGGGGAGAAACCCAGGGACGUGUCGUCGGUGGAGGUGCUGAUGAACUACCACCAGAGCCUGAAGAGCGAAGUGGAGGCCCGCAGCCAGAGCACGCUGGAGUGCAUCGAAAUGGGAAAAAUGCUGCUGGCUGCUAGAAACCCUGCAGCUGAGGAGAUCAAGGAGAAGCUGGAAAAGGUGAUCGCGAAGCAGCGUGAGCUUUCAGAGAAGUGGGACAAACACUGGGAGUUCCUCCAGCAACUGUUGGAGGUUCACCAGUUCGCCCAGGAGGCGAUGGUGGCGGAGGCCUGGCUGACGGCUCAGGAACCGCUGAUCAGCAGCAAGGAGCUGGGCGGCAGCGUGGACGAGGUGGAGCAGCUCAUACGCCGACACGAAGCUUUCCGGAAAGCCGCCGCCACCUGGGAGGAGAGAUUCAGCUCACUGCGGCGUCUCACUACGGUGGAAAAGCUGAGAGCGGAGCAGAGCAAGCUGCCGCCGACGCCGCUGCUGGGCCGUAAAGUCUUCUUGGACCCUCAGGACGCGGCGCCGGGUCCGGCCACGCUGCCCCGCCUCCCGGUCUCCCCCGUCAUGAGGCAGACCAUCUACGAGCAGAACGAAGCCACCACGCCGCCGUCGCCCUCGCCCGCCACGCCCACGCCGUCCCCGUCGGCGGCCGCCCGUCGGCUCGCCUCCGCCGUCGUCAACAGCUCCGGCUACCGGCACGGCGGCGUGGUGGCCGUCCAGCCGGCCGCUUCAUCCAUCGCCUCCGUCGCCACGGCGGCCAUGUUGGUGUCGGCUAAUCAGAUGCGGGAAAGCGCCAGCACGGCGAAGGAGCAGGCGACAAAAGCCAUGAGCUACCUGCAGCCGGAGGCGAAGACGUUGCCGUAUCUACGGCAACCGAAGAUCAAACACUUGGACGACGCGGUGACGCCGCUGAUCGUGGCGAGCCGCCUGGAGCGAGGGAGAGAGCGAGGGAGGGAGAGAGAGGAGCGGGCAGAGGUGGCGGUGAUGGCGGAGGUGGUGCUCCAGGAGCCGGGCCGGGAGCGGCUGCACAGCGAGCCCACCAGGGGGCCCCGCGGGUCCAGAACCGACCCGCUGGGCCGAGCCGAGCCGCAGGUCCAGGCGUACCAGCGGCAGCUGUCCAGCGAGCAGCUGAUCCAGGCGCGGCGCGACGAGCUGCCGCAGGAAGUCCGGAGGGAGCAGGCGGGGCGGCGCGACAGGCGGACGCUGGAGAGGCAGACGUCCAGCGAACAGGAAGGACAUGAAGGCCGGCGGAGAGAGAGAGAGCGCCACCGAGUGGAGAGGCAGGAGUCCAGCGACAAUGACGUGGGGAGGGAGCAAUCCGACCGGCGCUCCACUGGAGGAGAGAAGAGAACCACCAUGGCAGAAAUUGUAGAGCAGCUUCAAGAAAGAGAAGCAGCACAGGCGCGUGGCGAGGUUCCCCGCCUGCCCAACGGUCUGCCAGAAAAGUCUUCCCGUCCGGACCGGCCCAGAGCCCGGGACCGACCCAAACCCAGACGGCGGCCGCGCCCCAAAGAGCCGGGAGAAACGACGCGGCGUUCCCGAUCGGCUCCGGCCCAGAGCAGCCAGGCGGCGCCGCAGCCGCCGACCCACACGGCGCACCACGAGGGCUUCCUGUUCCGCAAGCUGGACAUCGAGAGCAUGAAGAAGAGCACCAACAGGUGGGUCUUCAGGGCCCGGCGGGCCGCCAGCACACGCAGGAUGCUCCCUGCUGUCAUGACCAUCCAAAUUAACGAACUCCAAUUUCCAAAUUCCCAAAAGUUUCCUUUGAGUUUUAACUAUAAAUGGUUGGAAUAUUUAAAAUCUCUUCUGGCUUUAAUAAUCCCUGUUGUGUUAAUUGAUCAAUCGAUGGCAACGGGGCGCAAAUUCAGCAUGCAGAGUUACGACUUUUGCAUCUGACGUGUUAGGAAGAUGCAUGACUCGGCUCACAUGUGGUCCUUACAAGCUGCAACCGAACCAAAGUCCAGCUGUGGUUCUGCUCAGCAUUCAGGUCUUCCGUCCUCCAUUACAGCCAGAUUUCAAAAUGGAGUUCACAGAUUUAGGAGCUCAGGCAGGUUUUGAGGUUUUUUUAUUUUAAAGCAGAAGAGUCAUGCAGCCACAGCGCCUCCGCACUUACUCUACCCCUGGUAAAAAUGUGAGAGAAAACGUUGAUCGACUGGAAGGUGAUUUUUAACGGGUAUUCGUAACGUUCACACGAGUUGGAUGUUUUUUUUUUUCUUUUUUGCUGAAAUCUUUUUUUUUUUUUUUUUUUUUUUUUAUAUAUAAAAUCUGAUUUUCAGAUUUUUUUCUGAAAUCUGAUCUUUCAAGUAUUUUUUUUUUUGUUGAAAUCUGAUUUUUUUUCUGUAGUUUUUUCUAGCUGGCUAACUAAAUACUUGUUUAUUCUCUGAUAGUCUAACUCCUUUUAGCACAACUUGAACACAACAAUAGUAUUUCUCUUCGUCCAAUCAGAUCGUUAUUUGAAGCAAAAAUUAACCCCCAGUGAGCCGAGAGAAGCAGCUUUGUCGUCCAUUGCUGCUGUUAGCGGAUGUCAUGGUGCGUCAGGUUUACCGGCGUACCAGAAACGCACAACAACGGUUCCAGUGAGAACCUUUGUAUGAAAAAAAACUAUAUUAAUUAUAUGUAAUGUUUGCUGGAUUUAAGUGUAUUAAAAUUCAUCCACUGCAGUUGUUUACAGAUGUUUGUGCAUCAGAUUUUGGGUCGUACCAGAACAAAAAGCAAAGUUUUUGUGAAAAAAGAAAAGUAAAAAAAAAUAUUAUUACUUAACAUUGAGUUUUAUUUUCUACUGUAUGAAUAGAAAGCUGCAUUUUACCAGGGGUGUGGUAACAUCUAAGGGUGCUGUGUAUCUAAAUAUCUGAUUUGUUGCAUUCAGAAUGUGAGGACAACAGUUACAUGAAAUAAAAAAGUUCCCCACAGCAUGAUGAAACUCCACGCAUGAUGCUUAACCUGAACGCCACGCAGCCGACGCAGCUGCUUCACUCGCUGACUAACUGGCUGGAUGAAGAGUGCAGCGAGAGCGGACCGAUCCGCUCGCAAACCCACACACAUUCACCAGACGAGCCCCCACUCUGACCCGCUCUCCACCGCCCUCUGGUGGCCGGUCCGAUCACCCACAGCCAAAAGCUCAUCCAGUUCCAGCAACGGAUGACGCCCCUCAUGCGCCCACUCACGACAGUGGAUGAAUGCGGCCAUAUGUACAUGCCCUGUUAUGUACAUGGAAAGGUAAAGCACAACUGUGAAUGGCUUGAAUCCAGUGUUGAAUCAUUGGGAUUCAACCCGUCACCGUUACGUCGCGACUCUACAAACCGUCACUCUGUGGUUCUGUGCGUAGUAAUAUUCUGAUGAAACCUGCUGAAUGUGGUGCUUUUAGAUUGAAUUCAUUGUUGUUUAGUUCUCUGAUGGGAAAAAGAAUGUACACCCUUCUUUAUCUCUCAGGUUUUACAAGCUUUUAUUGUACAAAACCACAUAACCAGUCACACACUGUCAUUGUUUAAUAAGCCUAGAAAGUUUGGUUCAGCCUCGGUUUGGUUGAAGUGAUAUCUGGUUCAGUUCAAAUGCAUAUGUGAAGGCCAAGUGGACCAGAGGCCGCUUCAAAAGCAGGAAGUGGACUACAGCGCAGAAAAAUGCUACAAACAAAAAUUCUGCAAGCACAGCAAAUAUAAAACACUCCACAAAAUGGAAGUCCUCCAGACCACUAGGGGGAGUCUGGCAUUGGUAAUGUUACCAACAUAAAUAAUGUUGAUGUUUUAUAAUAUUGUAAAAGACAAUAUAUUCCAGCUUUAUUGAGGGUCUGGUCCCAUCUUAUUAGAUGGUUGGUUGGCUCCCCCUAGUGGCAUGGAGGACUUUUCAGUUUCAUUCUUGCUGCUGUUUUUGCAGCAUUUCCUCUUUUACUUCUACCUGCUCUUCACUGUUUGCAGCGUAUUUGUUUAUUUGGAGUUUACCUCAUUUAAGUGUUUGUGAAGCGUUUACACCUGUCAGCCACUGUAGGAAAAAGACUUAAAGGGACGGUAUUAUGUGUUUUCUAGGCACAUAGUGCCAUUUUAUGUCAAAAUCAAACUAUUAUCUUACCUUUAAUUGCUAUAAAACAGAGAGUUGCUGUGGAAUUGGGUCUCUGUCUCUUUAAGAAGUUCCUAAUCCAUCUGACAAUCUGCCUUCAGCACAUUAUCAACACAAUGCUCCUUAUUAUGCCGUUUACAGCCGCUCUCAGGUCAUAUAAUGAGUUCAGCAGGCGCGUAGUUCCACCAGGUGUUUGCUAAUUGCUGCUGACUAGUCUGGAGGAGCUGAUGGGAAGAAUUGCGCUCUGUGAGGCAGAAGCUCCUUUUUAAAUACUAUAAAACCUGCAAGGGUGUGCUUUAUUUUUCCACAUUGUUUCCAUUUUGGCAUAAUCUUUUAUUGCUCACCAAAUUUUUCAUUAAUUACAAACAGUUUCUCAUAUGCACCUUAGCUUUUUGCUCGUUUGCAGAUGUUUUAUCAGAAUAUAAAGCUCCAUUUUAUUACCUCCAAGUACUGUGCAGACGUUUAAGACCUUAAAACUCGUUUAUUAUUUUAAUGCAGCAUUAAUUUUCUAAAUUUAACGCCAUCACCUUAUAAAUGUUUCCUUCAUUUGAGAUAAAGGUUAAAUUGGUUAGUUUUCACAUGAAAUAGCAUCAGACUUUAUGAAAUAGCUUCCAUUUUUUGACAAUGAAGAUUCUCCCUCCUUUAUUUUCUCCCAGCUGACGGAAGCUGAGAUCACCUCUGUAAAUUAUUUAUGGAAAAUCAAGCUUCUCAUUGGUGGAUCAAUCAAAUAUCUAAUAGGUCUAAGAUUUUUGCACAGUCUCUAUGCUUCCUCUCAGUUGAUUUGCUUCAUGCAUGUGGUCGCUUUAACACAGGGGUGUCCAAACUUUUUGUCACAUUGGCCAAAAUUGUUGAGCCAAAAGAACUGACAGGUCAAAAAAAAAUAAAUAAAAUCAACCAAAUACAGUUUGUUUGUUUGUUUUUUUUCAGGAAAUGGCAGCGAAAAUAAAAAAAUAAAUCUACCAUUUAAAAUAAUUUGAGUUAAAAAUAAAUUUAUUUAUUGUUUUUAAAAAUAGCCUUUUAGCUAAUUCUGGCACAUUUACAAAAUGUUAGUUAAGGUUUAUUGUCCCCACCAAAUAAAUUGAAUUAAUUUCCAAAUUCCUUUGAACUGAAUUAAACAGCUGCGUUUCCAUUGAUCAUAUAAUGGCGGAAUUUGACAUUUUGAAAGUAAAUUUGCUUAAAAGAAAAACUUUUUUUGCAUCACAUAAGUCAAGUCAUCAAAAUCGGAUGUUACCGCUGACAGAAACUAUGAAGAACCCAACAAGAAGUUGUUUUAGGAUUAUGUUUUUUAAUGACUUAUCGCAUAAAGAAACUUUUUCAGGUGUGUUCAUAAUUUAAUUUCUUGUUUAAUGGAAACGCUGUAAAAGUGAAAUAGUUUUUUUUUUCAAUGUUAUUAACAAAGUUUUGUGAAUAUUUGUAAUGGAAAUGCAGCCAGUUAUAAGAACAGGAUUUAGGGCACUUUCUUCCAAAAAGCUUUAAUAAAUUAAAUAAAAGCUGUUAGGGCUGGAUGGUAUGGCUGAAAAACCUAUCACAAUAUAAACAUUUUAUAUCAGUCAAUCAACAAUUAUUGAUUAGUUUUUUGUUGUAAAUAUCUGAAAUAUUGCCAAACUGGCAGUGUGACCUUUCCAGUUUCCACUUCACGUCGAAUGUUUUUGAUUUUUAAGCAGUUAUGAGGCAAAACCUCAAACUGCUGCUGCUCAAGUUAGCAGAUUGUUGCUAGGUAACCAAAGCUGGGUGGAACUUCAAACUGCUGCUUACCCAGCAGGUUGUUGCUAGGCAACCAUAGAGUGAGAGAGUUAGCUGACCACCAACCUAACUUAGCUGGCUAGGUUUAGCAGCUAACGUCUUUAUUAUGCCUACAUCUCCCAGAAUACCGUCCGUUUCUGGAUCAGUGUUCAUUGACAUUAUUGAAUAUCCAUUGAUAUUGAUCAUUUUUCUGUCGUAACUUAUAUUGUUAUUGAUUUAUUGUCCAGCCACACUUUUUGUUGAACUCAACAUUUUUCACUGUAAAAACAUUAUGUUGAUAAAAAUUGUACCCUAAUUAAAAAUAUAAAUUCUUCAUUUUUAUCAAUCAUUUGUGAUGGACGGGUCAAAUCUGUUUUACUCUUAAACGGCCACAAAAAUGUCAGUCCAAGAGCCAGAAAUGGCCCCCGGGCCUCAUUUUGGACACCUCUUGGUUCAACAGAUGUAACCUAGUUGAAAAAAAAUUGCAUUUAACCAAACUCUUCUUCUUCUGUUUCUGUGUUUCUCCCCGCUGUGCUUCCGGCUCUCCCUCCGUUCUCCUCCAAGUGUAAAUCCUCCUCCCUUCUUGGGGCUGGUCCAUCCUGCCUACCUACCUGUCUGCUCUGGUCAGCAGGUCAUGGGUCAACCUGUACUGCGUGCUGAACAAAGGGGAGCUGGGCUUCUACAAG